rfam:Helianthus annuus linkage group 2, whole genome shotgun sequence.
AGUCCAUGGUGAGGACAUUUGCGAAGCAUGUCCUUGAAACGCUCCCACGCCUCAUAAAGUGAUUCACCAUCUUCUUGACCAAAGGUGUUAAUAUCAUUUCUUUGCUU